rnacentral:misc_RNA from 1 species
GAUGAAGAACGUAGCGAAAUGCGAUACUUGGUGUGAAUUGCAGAAUCCCGUAACCAUCGAGUCUUUGAACGCAAGUUGCGCCCGAAGCCAUCAGGUUGAGGGCACGUCUGCCUGGGCGUCACAUAUCGUUGCCCAAUGCCUAUUGCAGUGCAAUAGGAAUUUCUAGGGCGAAUGAUGGCUUCCCGUGAGCGUUGUUGCCUCGCGGUUGGUUGAAAAUCGAGUCCUUGGUAGGGUGUGCCAUGGUAGAUGGUGGUCGAGUUAGAACGAUACCGAUCAUGUGCAUGCUCCCCAAAAUAUGGCCUCUAUGACCCACACGCGUCUUUUGACGCUCAUGACGAGACCUCAGGUCAGGCGGGGCUACCCGCUGAAUUUAAGCAUAUCAAUAAGCGGAGGA